GGGUCAGGCUUGGGUGCCCAUGUGUUUCCCAAUUACCUGGUUCCAUGUGGGGGCUUCAUGGACAGGAGUGGUGCUUUUCCAGGCCUCUUUUCCAUAUGCCAGCUACAGGCCCAGGUUUCCCAAGUUUCUGGAGCCCCUCUUCCAGCCUGGCAAGCAUGGCAUGUUGUAGGGGAAGGACAUCAAGCCUACAGGCAGCAGAACCUGUCUGGUUUUGCAGGACCUGGGUGAUCACCCAAGGAGUGAAAAUGGCCUUUUUAUGAGAAAUUGCCAAAAUUGAUGCAAGCUCAUCAGUCGAAAAGGUAGAAAUAUCGUUUGACUUCUGUUUUGCUGACAAGAAAUGUGGUCCUGACAAGGCUACCUGGGACCAUGACCUCACAGAAAACGCUGGAGCCCAUCUGUUUCCAAUCUGCUGUUUUCCAAAAAUUAGGGAAGUUCAGCUUUCCCUUUGAUACUCUCUGUUUCUAACAACCCCAAUGCCGGGGCUGUCCUGCUUCUACAAGUGACAAUGACAAAUAUAGACCUGAAGGAAGAUGAGCUGAUGGCAUUCCCAGCUUAUUACCACUCCUUGGGGGCCUUAUCUCACAUACAUGGAUUCAACUCAUAGACUCAGCUGGGCUGCUGUGGUUUUCUGGGGGUCCACUCUUGAUCUUCAUCACCUCAGUCUUUCCUGCAUCUGGAGGUAUCACCAGUGAAGGCUGCGAAACAGCAAAGAUGGCAGCCUGAUCUUUCCUCUGGGAGCACCAGUCCAAGGGGGUACUGACUUAAU